GACGAACGCUGGCGGCGUGCCUAAUACAUGCAAGUCGAACGCACAGUUUAUACCGUAGCUUGCUACACCAUAGACUGUGAGUUGCGAACGGGUGAGUAACGCGUAGGUAACCUGCCUGGUAGCGGGGGAUAACUAUUGGAAACGAUAGCUAAUACCGCAUAAUAUUAAUUAUUGCAUGAUAAUUAAUUGAAAGGUGCAAUUGCACCACUACCAGAUGGACCUGCGUUGUAUUAGCUAGUAGGUGAGGUAACGGCUCACCUAGGCGACGAUACAUAGCCGACCUGAGAGGGGGAUCGGCCACACUGGGACUGAGACACGGCCCAGACUCCUACGGGAGGCAGCAGUAGGGAAUCUUCGGCAAUGGACGAAAGUCUGACCGAGCAACGCCGCGGGAGUGAAGAAGGUUUUCGGAUCGUAAAGCUCUGUUGUAAGAGAAGAACGGGUGUGAGAGUGGAAAGUUCACACUGUGACGGUAGCUUACCAGAAAGGGACGGCUAACUACGUG
rnacentral:rRNA from 1 species